GGACGAUUAGCUCAGUUGGGAGAGCGUCUGGGUCACAACCAGAAUGUCGGCGGUUCGAGCCCGUCAUCGUCCA
rfam:Treponema brennaborense DSM 12168, complete genome.